rnacentral:rRNA from 1 species
UACGGAGGGCGCAAGCGUUGUUCGGAAUCACUGGGCGUAAAGCGCGUGUAGGCGGCUUGGCAAGUCGGGUGUGAAAGCCCGGAGCUCAACUCCGGAAUUGCAUUCGAAACUGCCUCGCUCGAGUCCCGGAGAGGGUGGUGGAAUUCCCGGUGUAGAGGUGAAAUUCGUAGAUAUCGGGAGGAACACCAGUGGCGAAGGCGGCCACCUGGACGGUGACUGACGCUGAGACGCGAAAGCGUGGGGAGCAAACAGG